rnacentral:rRNA from 1 species
GACGAACGCUGGCGGCGUGCUUAACACAUGCAAGUCGUGCGGUAAGGCCCUUUCUGGGGUACACGAGCGGCGAACGGGUGAGGAACACGUGAGCAACCUGCCCUUCACUUUGGGAUAACUGCCGGAAACGGUGGCUAAUACCGGGUAUGACUUCCUCACGCAUGUGGGGUGGUGGCAAGCCUUCGGGUGGUGGGGGAUGGGCUCGCGGUCUAUCAGCUUGUUGGUGGGGUGAUGGCCUACCAAGGCUUCGACGGGUAGCCGGCCUGAGAGGGGGGCCGGCCCCACUAGGUCUGGGACACGGCCCAGACUCCAACGGGACGCAACAGUGCGGAAUAUUGUACAACGGGCGGAAGCCUGAUCCAGCGACGCCGCGUGGGGGAUGACGGCCUUCGGGUUGUAAACCUCUUUCGCCUGCGACGAAGCGAGAGUGACGGUAGCAGGUGAAGAAGCCCCGGCCAACUACGUG